CCUACGGGAGGCUGCAGUGGGGAAUAUUGGGCAAUGGGCGCAAGCCUGACCCAGCAACGCCGCGUGAAGGAAGAAGGCUUUCGGGUUGUAAACUUCUUUUGACAGGGAAGAGUAGCAGACGGUACCUGUCGCAUCAGCCACGGCUAACUACGUGCCAGCAGCCGCGGUAAUACGUAGGUGGCAAGCGUUGUCCGGAUUUACUGGGUGUAAAGGGAGAGUAGGCGGCAAGGUAAGCGAUAUGUGAAAGCCUUAAGCUUAACUUAAGGAUGGCAGAACGAACUAUCUAGCUCGAGUACAGGAGAGGAAAGCGGAAUUCCUAGUGUAGCGGUGAAAUGCGUAGAUAUUAGGAAGAACACCAGUGGCGAAGGCGGCUUUCUGGACUGAAACUGACGCUGAGGCUCGAAAGCGUGGGGAGCGAACAGGAUUAGAUACCCGAGUAGUC
rnacentral:rRNA from 1 species